rnacentral:rRNA from 1 species
UACGUAGGGGACGAGCGUUGUCCGGAUUCAUUGGGCGUAAAGGGUGCGUAGGUGGCGUGGCAAGUCGGGUGUGAAAUCCCGGGGCUCAACCCCGGAACUGCACCCGAUACUGCCGUGCUCGAGUACUGGAGAGGAGACUGGAAUUUACGGUGUAGCGGUGAAAUGCGUAGAUAUCGUAAGGAAGACCGGUGGCGAAGGCUAGUCUCUGGACAGUUACUGACACUGAGGCGCGAAGGCCAGGGGAGCGAACGGG